UACGAAGGAGGCGAGCGUUGUUCGGAGUUACUGGGCGUAAAGGGCGCGUAGGCGGCGAUCCAAGUUAGGCGUGAAAGCCCCGGGCUCAACCUGGGAAUAGCGCUUAAGACUGGGUUGCUCGAGUGCGGGAGAGGUGAGUGGAACUGCGAGUGUAGAGGUGAAAUUCGUAGAUAUUCGCAAGAACACCAGUGGCGAAGGCGGCUCACUGGCCCGAUACUGACGCUGAGGCACGAAAGCGUGGGGAGCAAACAGG
rnacentral:rRNA from 1 species